GUGAGGAAUUUUCCGCAAUGGGCGAAAGCCUGACGGAGCAAUGCCGCGUGAAGGAUGAAGGCCUAUGGGUUGUAAACUUCUUUUCUCAGAAAAGAAUUAUGACGGUAUCUGAGGAAUAAGCAUCGGCUAACUCUGUGCCAGCAGCCGCGGUAAGACAGAGGAUGCAAGCGUUAUCCGGAAUGAUUGGGCGUAAAGCGUCUGUAGGUUGUUUAAAAAGUAUUCUGUCAAAGAUUAGGGCUUAACCCUAGAUAGGCAGAAUAAACUUUUAAGCUAGAGUUUGGUAAAGGCAGAGGGAAUUCCCGGUGGAGCGGUGAAAUGCGUAGAUAUCGGGAGGAACACCAAAGGCGAAGGCACUCUGCUGGGCCAAUACUAACACUGAGAGACGAAAGCGAGGGGAGCAAAUGGGAUUAGAUACCCGGGUAGUCC
rnacentral:rRNA from 1 species